UCAAAAACAUGUCUUUUUGAAAUUAAUUUAAAGUCUAAUCUGCCCACUGAUAUAAAUAUUAAAGGGCUGCAGUAUAUUGACUGUACAAAGGUAGCAUAAUCAUUAGUCUUUUAAUUGAAGACUUGUAUGAAGGAUUUGAUGAAAUAUGAACUGUCUCUGAUUUAUAAAUAGAAAUUAAUUUUUUAAUUAAAAAGUUAAAAUAUUGUUAAAAGACGAGAAGACCCUAUAGAGUUUUAUAAUUUAUUUAUUUAAUUAAUAAGUAUAUAUUUUAAUUUAAUAAAUAAUUAAAUUAUUAUGUUGGGGUGAUAAAAAAAUUUAAUAAACUUUUUUUAAUUUAAAACAUAAAUAAGUGAUAAAAUGAUCCAUUAUUAAUGAUUAAAAGAAAAAAUUACCUUAGGGAUAACAGCGUAAUAUUUUUUUUUAGUACAAAUAAAAAAAAAAGUUUGCGACCUCGAUGUUGGAUUAAGAUAAAAUUUAAAUGCAAAAGUUUAAAAGUUUUGAUCUGUUCGAUCAUUAAAAUUUUACAUGAUCUGAGCU
rnacentral:rRNA from 1 species